rnacentral:rRNA from 1 species
CAGUAGCCACGGUAAUACGUAGGGUGCAAGCGUUAUCCGGAAUUAUUGGGCGUAAAGCGUGCGUAGGCGGUUCGUUAAGUCUGUUGUGAAAGCCCCGGGCUCAACCUGGGAAUGGCAGUGGAUACUGGCGAGCUAGAGUGUGUCAGAGGAUGGUGGAAUUCCCGGUGUAGCGGUGAAAUGCGUGGAGAUCGGGAGGAACAUCAGUGGCGAAGGCGGCCAUCUGGGACAACACUGACGCUGAGGCACGAAAGCGUGGGGAGCAAACAGGAUUAGAUACCCCUGUAGUCCCUGUCUCUUAUAC